GAGAAGCCCUAUAAUUGGGAGAGAAAAGCCCUAGCAUUUUGCGCAGGGAGAAGAAAGGCCUAUUAUCAUACUUACUUUCUUUUCGACGGAAUAAGUCACUUUCAUAACUUCUCUUUUUAUUUUUAAUAUUUUAUUUUAUUUUUAUAUUUUGCUUUUCCCUUUAAAUUUAUUUUCUUUUCAUAACUUUUUAUGUAUUAAUUAAAACAUGUUAUUAUCUUCACAAAUGUUGUUCAAUAUAAUUUUUUGAAUCCAAUGAAAUUAAUUUUGAUAUGCUUAAUUUAUUUUUGAUAGAAAAUUCAUUUAUCA
rnacentral:lncRNA from 1 species